rnacentral:rRNA from 1 species
GACGAACGCUGGCGGCGUGCUUAACACAUGCAAGUCGAACGAAGUGGCGAACGGGUGAGUAACGCGUAAUCAACCUGCCCUUCAGAGGGGGACAACAGUUGGAAACGACUGCUAAUACCGCAUACUGAAGGAGGGGAUUGGGUCUGAUUAGCUAGGUGGAGGGGUAACGGCCCACCAAGGCGAUGAUCAGUAGCCGUUCUGAGAGGGUGAACGGCCAAAUUGGGACUGAGACACGGCCCAGACUCCUAAGGGAGGCAGCAGGUGGGAAUCUUCCGCCAUGGACGAAAGUCUGACGGAGCAACGCCGCGUGAGUGAUAGCGGCCUUCGGGUUGUAAAGCUCUGUUAAUCGGGACGCGGUACCGGCAUAGAAAGCCACGGCUAACUACGUGCCAGCAGCCGCGGUAAUAC